rnacentral:rRNA from 1 species
GUUGAUCCUGCCAGUAUUAUAUGCUGAUGUUAAAGAUUAAGCCAUGCAUGUGUAAGUAUAAAGUCCAAGAAGGAUGAAACUGCGAACGGCUCAUUAGAACAGUUAUAGUUUCAUUGGUUAGUACGUUACAAGGAUAACUUUGUGAAUGAUAAAGAUAAUUCUUGGGACGAUCCGGUGAGUAGCAAUACUUACCGGCCUUGAUCCCGCAAGGGGUUGAGAGAAAUGGUACUUAAGAAGAACAUGAGUACCAAGACAAUUGUAGAACACACUGUGUUUGACAAGUAACCAACGAGAAUAUCUGAUCUAUCAAUUAGUUGGUAGUAUCGAGGACUACCAAGAUGAUAACGGAUAACGAGGAAUUAGGGUUUGACAUCGGAGAGGGAGCUUUAGAGAUGGCUACCACUUCCAAGGAAGGCAGCAGGCGCGUAAAUUACCCAUUUCCAAAGCGGAGAGGUAGUGACGACAAAUAACUCAUGGCGCGGCAAUGCCGAGCCUUGAAGGAAUGAGUAGGAAGCAAAGUAUCCUACAAAAUCGAUUGGAGGGCAAGUCUGGUGCCAGCAGCCGCGGUAAUUCCAGCUCCAAUAGUGUAUAUUAAAGUUGUUGUGAUUAAAACGCUCGUAGUUGAAUACAUUCAUAUGAUGAUUAACAACUUUAGUUUGCGACAAGCGAACUGGAUGAGUUAAUGAUAAACAUCAUAGAUUAAGGACAACUCAUUCUUGAGUUGAUUACUUUGAAUAAAAUAAAGUGUUUAAAGCAAAACAUUUGUUAAUGAAUAAAGAAGCAUGGGACAAUAAGAAGGAGAUCAAGAUUUGCUGUAACAGGAAAGCUUGAUUUCAAGAGAAGGAUUAAAAGGAAUAAUUGGGGUGAUUCAGAAAAUUUUGGGAGAGGUGAAAAUCCAUGAUCAAAAUAAGAUGAACGAGAGCGAAAGCAUUUCACUCAAUUAUAUUCAUUAAUCAAGAACGAAAGUUAGGGGAUCGAAGACGAUCAGAUACCGUCGUAGUCCUAACUAUAAACGAUGUCAACCAAGGAUUGGAUAAACUCAAGAGACUUGACGAAUGGGCAAUCAAUGAUUGCACAGUCAGAAAGGCUCAAUACUACCUUAUUCAGAACUUGAAGAGAAAUCUCGAGUGAAUAGACUUCAGGGGGAGUAUGGUCACAAGGCUGAAACUUAAAGGAAUUGACGGAAGGGCACACCAGGAGUGGAGCCUGCGGCUUAAUUUGACUCAACACGGGAAAACUUACCAAGACCGAACAUUAGAAGGAAUGACAGAUUAAGAGUUCUUUCAUGAUUUGAUGGGGUGUGGUGCAUGGCCGUUCUUAGUUGGUGGAGUGAUUUGUCAGGUUAAUUCCGGUAACGAACGAGACUGAAACCUAUUAAUUAGUUCGCUGUCUGUGAAGGCAGGGACGUGGGCAACCACGAAUGGCGGUAACGCAAUUACUACUUAAAGGGACACAUUUCAAUUGUUUUGUAAUAUCGAAUGCCACGCACCUCGGUGUGUGCUUUGAUAAUACGAAAAAAAGAAAAAGGAAGCAUUCAGCAAUAACAGGUCUGUGAUGCCCUUAGACAUCUUGGGCUGCACGCGCGCUACAAUGGAGUUACUAGAGAGUAAUACUAAUGAUAGUGUAGAGCGCGAUGUGUUGAUACUCUGUAUCAAUAUGUCGAGCCUCUUGCUAUUUGACCAAGACUGAAAUAGUUUAGGAAAACUCGAAAGAACGUACUUGACUGGGAUAAAUGAUUGGAAUUAUUUGUUUUGAACGAGGAAUUCCUUGUAAUAUCGCGUCAUCAACGCGAGAUGAAUACGUCCCUGCCCUUUGUACACACCGCCCGUCGCUCCUACCGAUUGAAUACAGAGGUGAAAUUCUAAGACCCGAGUGCWUUUGUACUUGGGAAAUGGAUUUAAAUCUCCUUAUUUAGAGGAAGGAGAAGUCGUAACAAGGUUUCCGUAGGUGAACCUGCGGAAGGA